rnacentral:rRNA from 1 species
UACGUAGGUGACCAGCGUUGUCCGGAUUUACUGGGCGUAAAGAGCGCGCAGGCGGUCGUUCAAGUCGAGUGUGAAAGCCCCCGGCUCAACUGGGGAGGGUCACUCGAUACUGAUCGACUUGAAGGCAGGAGAGGGAAGCGGAAUUCCCGGUGUAGCGGUGAAAUGCGCAGAUAUCAGGAGGAACACCGAUGGCGAAGGCAGCUCGCUGGGACGGUACUGACGCUGAGACGCGAAAGCGUGGGGAGCAAACAGG